rnacentral:rRNA from 1 species
GACGAACGCUGGCGGCGUGCUUAACACAUGCAAGUCGAGCGGUAAGGCCCUUUCGGGGGUACACGAGCGGCGAACGGGUGAGUAACACGUGGGUGACCUGCCCUUAGCUCUGGGAUAGGCCUGGGAAACUGGGUCUAAUACCGGAUAUGACUCCAUGACGCAUGUUGUGGGGUGGAAAGCCUUGUGCGGCUAGGGAUGGGCCCGCGGCCUAUCAGCUUGUUGGUGGGGUGAUGGCCUACCAAGGCGACGACGGGUAGCCGGCCUGAGAGGGCGACCGGCCACACUGGGACUGAGACACGGCCCAGACUCCUACGGGAGGCAGCAGUGGGGAAUCUUGCGCAAUGGGCGAAAGCCUGACGCAGCGACGCCGCGUGAGGGAUGACGGCCU